rnacentral:lncRNA from 1 species
AUCAUGAAUUCUACUUCAUAGUACUGCAAUAUUUUAUAAUUAUCUAUAGUUUCUGACUGUUGAACAUUUAUGUGCAUUGAUUGUAUGACAAAAGAUAUUUUUUGGACAUAUAUGGUAAUCAGAUGAUAUGCACAUAAAUUUCAAAUAAAAUUCACUUAAUUAGGUCAUGCAUGCAUAUGAAACUAUGAACAUUUCAAAGACAAGGCUUU